UACAGAGGUCCCAAGCGUUGUUCGGAUUCACUGGGCGUAAAGGGUGCGUAGGUGGUGAGGUAAGUCGGAUGUGAAAGCUCGGAGCUCAACUCCGAAAUGGCAUUGGAAACUACCUCGCUCGAGGGUUGGAGGGGGGACUGGAAUACUUGGUGUAGCAGUGAAAUGCGUAGAUAUCAAGUGGAACACCAGUGGCGAAGGCGAGUCCCUGGACAACUCCUGACACUGAGGCACGAAAGCUAGGGGAGCAAACAGG
rnacentral:rRNA from 1 species